GGAGAGUUGCCAGAGCGGUCGAAUGGGGCACCCUGCUAAGGUGUUAGGCGAGCAAUCGCCUCGAGGGUUCGAAUCCCUCACUCUCCG
rnacentral:tRNA from 1 species